rnacentral:lncRNA from 10 species
CUAGGAUGGAUUUCUUGUGUAUUCUUCGAAACUGUCUAUACCACUGUAAGGAUAUUUACUUUUUAAAAAGGUGGAAUCAUAUACACUUUGCUGUACUUUAUCGUGUGCUCAAGUUUUUGCUUUUGCUUUUUUUCCUCUCUCCUACAUAGUGGUCUAUCUUGGAAAUCUUUGGUGGGAAGCAUUCGAAGAAGGGUUUGACAUGAAGGAGUAACAUGGUCAGUUCCAUAUUUUAGGUAGCCAUAACACUGAUGGCCAUAUUUUCAUAAAAAUGAAAGUAAAGAUGAAGGAAGGAAAUAUAUUGAAGAUGAUAAUGACUUUAGGAAGAGAAGUGUGUCUCCUGUACCCAACUUGCCCAUCAUCGUGAGAAAGCUAGUAGGAAAACUCUUAAGCCUUUGUACUCAUGGAUUGGCUCACAUUAGAGGUGUUACCACUUCCCCAGCAGGUGUUUGGAAAUGUACGGUUGUUGUCAGAGUAACUGAAGGGGCUCUACUGGCAUUUGAUGGUUGGGGGCCAGGGAUGCUAAACUUUCUGCAUUACUCAAAAUGGUCGUGUACUGCUUUGACAGACUGAGGGUGGCCUUCUACCCUGUCUUGCGAUAAGUAGCAGGUCUGUUAUUUGAGGAUGAAUAAAAACAAAAAACAAUAGGAGUCUAUGGAAUACCUAUAUAAUAAAGGAAUGGGAACAUCAUCCUAAAGACUAACAAGGAGAGCAGAGCUCUGAACACAAUUUUUAUAGAAAACAAAAUAAAACUUAAAAAAAAAUCUGGCAGUCUCAAGAAGUGGCUUUUAGAAAGUAGAUUGUAAAGUUUUAAAUUCCAAGCCAGAUUCAGCCCUGUCAGCAUGUUUUGUGUAUUCUACACAUUGUUUUAAGAAAUUUCUCACAAGUUUGCCAGCAUUUAAAAAUAGAUUUUAAAUAAAAAUUCGGAUAUAUUGCUUCUCUUGAAAAAUCAGAUCUUUAAGCAGUAAGGUUGAAUUGCAUUCCACCUUACCUUCCAUGUAAGCUUUUGAGUUUGCCGUCCCUGCAAUAACAAGCAAUGUGAGGGACAACCAUGAUACAGUUUUUACAGAUUGAACAAUAAACAUGAAAAUAAAGAGAAGAAAGGUGUCUGUGGGACUCUUCUGUAUAGAGAUCUAAUCUGAGAAUUAAAUAAGACUGAGAAAUGACACUCAAGUGUAAAUCAUUCUAAGUUUGAUUUUAAAAUUGAAUAUAUAUAUGAAUAUGUGUGUGUGUGCAUAUAUAUGUACGUAUGUAUAUAUCUCUUUCCCUUUUUUAUUCCCUCUCCUUUUUUGAAGCAGUUAAUUCCUAAAGCCAUUAGGUGAGCCCAAGCAAGGUAGGCAUCCACGCCAAAGUUGGGGAGCUAUAGUGGCACAGAGCAGAGUGUUGGAAGCUGACCAGGUUCAGAAGGUGUGGGAUGGGGAACACUACCAGUAUGGGGUUUCAGAGCCCAAGCAGGGUGAGAAUUGCACCCCUGUGGAGGAGUGACUGGCAUGGGAUGUCAAGAGUGCAAGUAGGAUGAGGAAGGUGUCUACAUAGGAAGGGUAGGACUAAAAGAAACCAGGGCUCUUUGGCAGGUUCCAAGGCUGGGGUAGGGAAAGAACAGGAUAAAUCUGGAACUUCUUGUUGGGCCAGAAAGUAAGAAAGUGCUCAAAGAAUGAUGAGGACAUGUCCAAAAAACACAAUAAUGUCAGUAAUUGAUUAUAUAUUUAUAAAAAAUAGGAAACCAUGAGGGAAUAAAUAAAUGAAUACAUUGAAAGUUUGAUGAAGAACAGGAUAUUUACAUACUUCCAAAUUAGGUCCCUACAAAAUUUUCAUUGUCUACAAAAGAGAAACAAGAAUCAUGGUAAAAUUUGGCAGAUAACACCUUAAUCCAGUGAUCAAGUUAACAUCAGCAGUAAUGAAAUAAAAAUCACGUGUUACUUGAUAGGAUGCAGCGAGAACACAGCAUCUGUGAUAUUCUUACCAAAGAUGUGUGACCUGAAUUUGAUCACAAAGAAACACCAGAGGAACCCAAAUUGAAGGACAUUCCCAUGCAAAAUAACUGCCCUGUAAUCUUCAAAAGUAUCAAGGUCAUAAAAGCCAAGGAAACACUGGAAUUUUUCCAAAUCAAAGGAGAGAAAAGAAACAUGGUGGCUAAAUAUAGCACACGAUUCUGAACUGGAUAGUAUUGGGACAAAUGGCAAAACCUGAAUGGGGUCUGAGGAUUAAAUGUUAGUAAUGUAUCAGCCCUGAUUUCCUGAUUUUGAUGAUUGUCUUGUUAUCUAGGAAACCACCCUUAUAUUGUAGAAAUUAUAUGCUAAAAUGUUCAAGAGUAACAGCAUGGUGCUAGCAACUUACUCUGAGGUGCUUCCAGAUUUUUAAAAGUUUUUCUUUUUUGUUUUUGUUUGUUUGUUUAUUUGAGGUGGAGUCUCACUCUGUUGCCCAGGCUGGAGUGCAGUGGCACAAUCUCGGCUCACUGUAACCUCUGCCUCCCUGGUUCAAGCGAUUCUCCCCCCUCAGCCUCCUUAAUAGUGGAAUUACAGGCACCCACCAUCAUUCCUGGCUAAUUUUUGUAUUUUUAGUAGAGACGGGGUUUCACCAUGUGGGCCUGGCUAGUCUCGAACUCCUGACCUCAGGUGAUCCACCCGCCCCGGCCUCCCAAAGUGCUGGGAGCCACCUGGGAGCCACCGUGCCCGGCCUCAGGUUUUUAAAAGGUACUUGGAACUUUUGAAUUGUACUUGCAACUUUUCUUUAAGUUUGAGACUCUUUCAAAAUAAAACAAAUGUUUAGAAAGUAGGAAAGGCUUUGUGUACACAAAGAAAAAGUGGCUUGGGAUAUUUUGCUACAACAUGCCUUUUAAUUUUAGCAUUACUCUCAUUAAUGCUAAAAUUAGCAUUAGUAUUACUUUAAUUAUAUAAACACUGCUGGAAAAACUAAACAGUGUAGAAGUAGUACCCAGUUUGUUGUAAGUCCCUAAGUCAUAGACAGUCUUCUUAAAUGGGAGUUUUGCUGGAAACUAUUAGUAGUAAUUAUAUAUGUUACAGUAACCUGUGUUAAAUAAAUGUAAAGGUUCAGUUUUGAAGCUGUAAAUAUUUUGUAUGAUGUUUAUUAGUACAUGUGGUCUUAAAACAAAGUUUGAAUAUUUGGAAUUGCAAAAUAUAAUUUAAGACUAGACACAGUAAUUUUCCUAUAAAUUUAUCAAUAAUUUUUGAAGGUUUUUCUGUUUGGCUAAUUGAUUUGUUUAAUAUAGGUCAGGUUAAAAUAGAAGUUUUGGUUUCUUCUAAGACGGGAUGAACUUUGCCUGCUGCUAAAAUAUGUAUCUUCUUCCACUUUUCAUAUUUAAAAAGAUAG